rnacentral:pre_miRNA from 1 species
GCUUAGGGAUGAACAAAGGAAGUAGUUUCCUAAGAUGGAAUCUACUCCUGGUGGAGAUGUUGUGAA